ensembl:lncRNA
UUUCUCCAUCUAUUUCCCAUGAAGUGAUGGGACCAGAUGCCAUGAUCUUCGUUUUCUGAAUGUUGAGCUUUAAGCCAACUUUCUCACUCUCCUCUUUCACUUUCAUCAAGAGGCUUUUUAGCUCCUCUUCACUUUCUCCCAUAAGGGUGGUGUCAUCUGCAUAUCUGAGGUGAUUGAUAUUUCUCCCGGCAAUCUUGAUUCCAGCUUGUGCUUCCUCAAGCCCAGCAUGUCUCAUGAUGUACUCUGCAUAUAAGUUAAAUAAGCAAGGUGACAACAUACAGCCUUGACAUACUCCUUUUCCUAUUUGGAACCAGUCUGUUGUUCCAUGUCCAAUUCUGACUGUUGCUUCCUGACCUGCAUACAGGUUUCUCAAGAGGCAGGUCAGGUGGUCCGGUAUUCCCAUCUUCAGAAUUUUCCACAGUUUAUUGUGAGCAAAGGCUUUGGCAUAGUCAAUAAAGCAGAAAUAGAUGUUUUUCUGGAACUCUCUUGCUUUUUCCAUGAUCCAGCGAAUGUUGGCAAUUUGAUUUCUGGUUCCUCUGCCUUUUCUAAAACCAGCUUGAACAUCUGGAAGUUCAUGGUUCACGUACAGCUGAAGCCUGGCUUGGAGAAUUUUGAGCAUUACUUUACUAGCAUGUGAGAUGAGUGCAAUUGUGUGGGAGUUUGAGCAUUCUUGCAUGUGAAAGUUGGGACUAUAAAGAAAGCUGAGCACUGAAGAAUUGAUACUUUUGAAUUCUGGUGUUGGAGAAGACUCUUGAGAGUCCCUUGAACUGAAAGGAGAUCAAACUAGUCAAUCCUAAAGGAAAUCAGUCCUGAAUAGUGAUUGGAAGGACUGAUGCUGAAGCUGAGACUCCAAUACUUUCGCCAACUAAUGUGAAGAACUAACUCAUAGGAAAAGACUCUGAUGCUGGGAAAGAUUGAAGGUGGGAGGAGAAGGGGACGACAGAGGAUGAGAUGGUUGGAUGGCAUCACCAACUGCAUGGACAUGAGUUGAGGAAGCUCCAGGAGUUGGUGAUGCACAGGGAGGCCUGCUGUCCUGCAGUCCACGGAGUCACAAAGAAUUGGACGCGACUGAGCGACUGAACUGAACUGUUGGGUUUUCGUUGCACCAGCAGGAUCUUUUCCUAUGGCCCACGGACUCUCUAGCUAUAGCACAACGGCUCCAGAGUACACAGGCUUUGGUCGCUGCGGUGUGCAGGCUUGGUUGCUCCACAGCAUGCGGCAUCUUAGUUCCCUGACCAGGGAUGGAACCCACAUCCCCUGCAUCCCAAGGCGGAUUCAUAACCACUGGACCACCUGGGAAGUCCCAUGAUCACGGACUCAGUUGCAGCAUAUGGGAUCUAGUUCCCUGACCAGGGAUCGAAUCCCAGCUCCCUGCUUUGGAAGUGUGGAGUCUUUGCCACUGGACCACCAGGGAAGUCCUCAACUGUAUUCACAGCAAGAGUCAAACCAUGCAAAUAUGACUGAUAGGGGCCUGCCCCAAAUUUCCCUUCAUAAGACCUUUCUUUACAGUAUGCAUGAAGAAUUAUAAAUAAAGAUUGUAAAUAGAUCAUUUAAAAGGCAUACAUUUUAUUAUACUUGGUCUAAUUCAUAACUUUCCCUGACCCAAAUUGGCCUUUCCCCUCAAGUGGGCCAAAUCGGCCAAACUGUCACACACCACUGUCAGCAGCACUAGGAGCAGAGAGGAUUCCUGACCCAGCAGGGAUCAGAGGGACUCUGCGGGUUUAGCAAUACGUUCAGAGCUUGUAACUUCAAGCUCUCCAUCUCUGAAGUUCAGGCUGGCUGGACUCUUCCGUGACUACAAAUUUUUUUUUUUCCCAAGGAGAAUUUUUAAAGCAUGGGAAAUUGGUGUUCCCUUGGGAACGUCAUGCAGGAGAGUGGGUAGCGACCCAUCGCUCAGGCAGGUCCUCUGCUGUGCACCACCGGUACGGGUCUGUCCAGAGGGGAGAGAAGAAAGGGAAGACGGCUUUCCGGGGCUUAGCUGUCGGGGUCGUCCUCUGCGGCGGGCGGUUCAAUCAAUGGGAAGAAACAGAGAUGCCUUCAAAACCGAAGGGGACGUGAGCCUUUGCAGAUAGCGACUGCGUUUAGCGAGCGCAUCCCCAACUACAGCCGCUGGGAACGGGCGCGGCCUCGGAGACCUUGGGCGCGGGGAGCUGAGCCGAGGGAGGCGCACAUGGCUCCGACCGCCCGGCCUCGUUUUCUUUCCAUGUACAUUGAAUUCCCAAAAGGGUUCCGAGGCUUUUGCUUGGCAGCGCACUGGGGAAAAGACAUUUCAAAAUGUAUUCCAUUGUCUCUGCUGGUGCUGGAGCGGCCGCCCGACCCCGAGGCAGUCUCAGAGCGUCUCUUUGGAUCCGGGCGAGAGCGGGACCUCCCUGUGCCUCUUAAAGCGCAGCAAUAAUGAACAGGGAGAGAAAGUGCUUGUUGCAGAUCGCGGCUUAUUAUAUAGGUCUCCAAGCGUUCCGCAUCCCCCUGCUGAGAAAAUCAUGCCUUUGCCUGUGCCGGGAUUUAUGGCGCGGUUCAUUUGCAAGUGGAGAAGACCCGACAGCUGGGAACGGACCAGCGCUAGCUGCUGAGACAGAUCCUGCAGGGUGUUUGAAAGGUGGGUGCAACAUGGUGUGGGGGCCCCGCAGAGGAUGAGAUGGUUAGAUAGCAUCACCUACUCAAUGAACAUGAAUUUGAGCAAACUCUAGGAGAUCGUGGAGUACAGAGGAGCCUGGCUGUGCUACAGUUCAUAGGGGUCGCAGAGUCAGACAGGACUCAGCUACUGCAAAAGCAACAUGGUUUAAACAUCUGGUAGGUUCUUCCUCUGGGUUUCCACCACCCACCCCAGGGGCAAUAAUAUCCACAGGCCUUUGGCUGUGGCCCUGUGUAGCACAGUGAGCCUGGCACAUUCCCUGAGACCUGAGCUAGCCGGAGGGGGGACCCUUGGCUAUUACACGCACCAUGUGUAACUGUCUUACACAAGCAGAUGGUGGCAAGUCCUUCCAAAACUUGG